UUUGUGUUAUACUCAAUCUUUUCCGGUAACUGGACCUCGUACAAUUCACAUCUAGGUAAGGGUAGGUUUUGUGAUUCAGUGAGACAAUAAUAACAAACUAUGUACGUCAUAUUUAAUACACCAGUCUUAAGAAACCAGUCCUUAGUACGUGCAAUUCAAGGAGAAGAUGGAUUAAAUUUUGGACAACGAAUCUACGGAUUUCUCUGUGAAUAGUCAUUGGAUUGUAAUAAUUGAAGUAUUUAUGGGAAGAGGCACUCCAUACGCUAAACUCCUCCUCGACUUCCUUCUCAAGCUGGAAAUCACCAAAGAAUCUUAUCAGGACAAACUACUUUAAACUAACAUCUAUCCCAGACGGUCGGUAAAAUAAUCAUGCUGGACUCUUUCUUGAUCAAUGAUCUCCCAUGUAUAUAUCUUGAAUUUACUCUUAUCAUUCUUCAGAAGCCUAUUUUUUCCCCUUGGAACUCUGUCUUUCUCGAUCAUGCUCAAUCAAGAGGGUUAUCUUGUCAACCUUGUUUGGAUCAUUUUUCAUUUGAAAAACAUCAGCCCUGGAGGAUACCAUGUUUUCAUUCCUCUUACGUUGUGGAGUACGACUUUUUAUCUCUUAAUAUUAAAUUUAUUACUUUUUAUUUAUCGUGAUUUUGCCUUUUUUAUUUUUAUGCCAUCUAUUUAUAGAUCAGCUCUGGAAAAGCCGAUAGUUUGUCUUAUGUCUAUUUUUUAAUGUAUAAACUCAAGUCAUAAGUUAUAUUUCAUAUAAAUUAAAUAUUUUAAUAAGAUGAUUUUAUAUCCUUCAUUUUCUAUAAUAACGAUUACAUACAUUGUUUUAAUUAAUAAAAUAAGAAGACACAUAAAAUACAUAAUUGAUGGUAAAAUUCUAAAAUGGAUUGAGAUUCCAAGCUUCUCAUAUAUUUUAGUUUUUCGAUUGGAUUGUAAUUUAAUACUUGUCGUUGGAGUCUUUCACUUAUGUCUUUUAUAAAUUUUUUUUCUAAAGGUGCCAUUCCUUCUUUUAAUAUCCACUUUUUUCUUUUUGGCAACUACCUCUUCUUUUUUUAAACAAUUUAUUACUUUCUUUAUAUUAGGAUGCAUGCUUGUGAUUAAACUUUGUAAUGCGUUGUGAAACCCAUUGUUCAAUGGUAAUGUUUGUUCUGUUCUUUCCCCUUCUCGUAACAUUCCAUAAUCAUUGUUCAUGAAAAAAUGAGAUAUAUUCACAAAUAAAGUCUAUCGAUUAA
rnacentral:lncRNA from 1 species